rnacentral:lncRNA from 1 species
AAGAAAGAAGGUCAUUAAUAUAAUUUUUUCCUCAAUUUCUCAUUUUAGGAAACCUGGAAGCAGAGUCACGCAUAAUUCAGUAAAAUUCAGCCAACUGAACUGCUCUCCACAGGAAAUACAAAUAGAACACAGAAGCUCUGAAAUGGAUCUUAACUGCAGAGCCAGAGGAAAUUAUCAAAAGAUCUAUUGUCUUGGCAAUAAGUUCCUCAAGUGAAGCUGGGUCCAUAGCUGCCAUUCAAGGUCUGCAUUCCUCAGAGUUCUGUUCCAGCAACUUUACAGUCCUUGUCAUCUAUCCAGCGGUGUAAAGCAGAAGGAGGCCUUUCUCCAGCUCAAUGGUUAGCGUUGUAGGUGGGUACUGCAGAGGCUAAUUCGUAUAUCAUUCUAUUACUCUUUUCACAGAGGGAAUUGCAUUUUGUGUCAGCAAGUUAUGCGUUUCCCAAUGUGCUGCCCAUUCAGCAUCAGCCACCAUCAUAAGUUAAUUCUUUGUUCAAGACGAAAGGAACCUGGAAUCCAACUGCAGGAGAGGGCCUACUUCCCAUUGAGUAUCCAGAAGCAUCUUAAACUCCAUCCUUCCAGUCUCACCAGAUCCUGCUUGUCCUCUCCAAUCUCAGACCUCGGAAAACAUCAGUACCUGCCUACAGCCUCGCUCCCCAACAGUCUCUCCACUGUCUCUGACCUUCCCCUCUCAGUACUAAAUUCCUU